UUUCAUGUAGAGCCUCUUCAACCAUUUUGUAUUGCUCAUAGUCAAAAUUCAUAAUUGCUUUUUGUAAAUAUCGAACCCCACCAUGAAUGAGCUUUGUACUCCUAUAUCAACAAUGAAAAAAAAGAAUGUUAAAAAAUAAAAUAAAAUAUGCCUACCUCGAAGAUGUUCCAGAUCCAAAGUCAUCCAAUUCUACAAGAGCUGUACUUAAUCCUCUUGUGAUGGAGUCAAGAGCACAACCGCUUCCUGUUGCACCUCCUCCAAUAAUUAGAACAUCGUACUCCUUAUUCUUAAGUGAAGCAAUGUUUUCAUUUCUUGUAGGUAGUUUCUGUUUUGGCCUUCUAUUUUUGCUUUGAUUGACUUUUAAAAUAUGAUUUAAGGAUUUCUAUAUGAUUCAUAACAAAAAAUAUUAAAUUUGUGUCACAUAACACAAUCAUAAUCCUCAUAUUAAAUUUAAUAUACCUUUGCAUAUCGAUCUUCAGCCAAAAUUUGAGCACAUAUAAAUGUUCCACCAGCCAAAGUUACUACACCAGCAGCUCCCCAUAAUAUUUUCUUUAAAUUUGCAUUCUUCAUCAUGUUAAAUUAUCAAUAAUUCGACAACAAAUGACAACUAAAUUAAUACUCAACACUUAAUAUCAUUCUUCGGUUUUAGAAAUCUAGCUCCUGUAAUAUAAUGAUGACAUUUUUAUCUUUUUUCUAAUAAAGUUAAUUCAUUUUCGUAAAUUGUAAGGGGUAUUUUUCACUUUAACUACACAUUCAUUAAUUUGUAAAAAAAUAUAUAUACAGCUAGUCUCUUGGCAUUUGAACCACACCACGUGUCUCCAAACCAGUUGUGAAAUAAUAGUAAUGAAAUAAGGUAUACAAUCUACCUAUUCGUUAAAUAACUUUGGAAUAAUUAAUGGCACUAGUAUAUAUAUACUUCAUCAUAUUGCAUUUAAAUAACUAAUGAGUAAUGAAAUACUUGUGUGUGACGAUUAUCAUAUUACGACUUUCUUCAAAAAAAUGUUGAUAUAUAACAUGAACAUGCGCGUUUAAAUUAUCACUCAACCUGUAUCUUACUUUCUAUCACUACUUUUUUCGUGAAGAAUAGUAGACAUAAACCAAGUCUACAGUAACAAUGUCAUAAAAGUAUAGCUAUACAUAUACGCUUAUAUUAUUUGAAGAAAAAAAGAAAUUCACUAUAUAAAAUGAACUUUUUAAUUGUAUUAAAAUCCACAGUGAAAUCAUUUUUUGUUCUAUCAAUUCAAAGUAAGCUAGAAUUAUUUUUCUCGAUAUUGAGCCGUGGCUACAUAUUUCAAUGAAAUAAUUAGAUAGUUAUAGAUUGUAAGGGGGAAAUUAAGUUUGAUAAAUCAAAUGAAAGUUGUAACCCUUACUUAACAUUCUAAAGUAUCUCAACUUAUCCCAGAAAUUUCAGUACAAAACCUAUAACGGACCAUAAUAUGUCUAUGAAAUAUUGGGCAGUAUAUGAUGUAAAAAAGAAUAAAUUGGACAUAUACAAUCUUUUACUUGAUUUCGAUUUAAAAUUAUUUUUGUUUUAAAACACCACAUAUGUUUUAUUUCAUUAAGUGUGAGUUGAAGGUCAUUUUACCGACAUAAUUAUUAGCUUUAUUUUUUAAUUUUAUUAGUAUCUAUUAAUGAUCAAUUCCUAAUUUGAACUUCAUAUUGAAAAGUUGUUACCUUGGUAAUAAUUUGUUAAGGUAGAUCCAACAUCAUCAUGGCCUAUAGUUAGACAAUUAUCCUGUUGAUAUAUUUUGUUUUUUGAUCCAUAUGCAGGGACCUGGAUAAAUAAUCUACCCCACCCCUUGCCUCUUUUAUUUACACUAUUCGUUCCCUAAAACCACUUUUACAGAUCCAUAAGAAUUCCUUAGCUAUUUGGAACUCAGAUACAAUUGUAUCACCCUGGCAAGGUAAAAAAAUCAUUGGAGAACGAUGCAAUUGCACAAAAAAAACCCUCAGAAAUUGACUACUUGAUUAAAGGAACAAAAGCACAAGAAUUGAGACCAAUAAGCAAUAUAUGCAGUCUCGUUUCGACUUUGUCGGUUCCGGUUUUAGCGGUUCAAGAACCGGGACUGACAGACCGAUAAGGGCACAUCCUUGUUUUAAAGUGCUUUAAAAUUAAAAAUAAAUUAUUAAAACAUCAACAUUUCUUAACAUUGCACAAGGGUUCAGAGGGCUUCGAUAAACAUAGUAUUUAGAUUUCUAUAAACUGUAUAAAGAGAAAGUCUUGAUAGAUAUACGUCUGUUAUCGUUAUUUUUAUUUAGGAGAUAAAAAGUAAUCAUUCCUUAAUCAAAAUUAUCUUGACUUUCAUGAGAAAAAAUGUUGGCCACUUUCCUCAAAGCUCCUCGAAAUUACUGUUAUACAAAGAACUCUAUUUGAGUUAAUCAUCCAUUGCUACGUGUCAAGGAGUAAUUCAUUAAUGGACUAUAUUCUGUCAUAUUAUUUGGAAAAAUCCUGGGCUAAAACGAUUUGAGCUCUUCAUUAUCUUCGUGAAUCAAUCCUUAGUCACAAAAGAGACAGAUUCCGAGGACUGAACUUAUUUCACAUUAACAUCUAAAUGAGGAUGAAAAUCCGUCUAAGCUCCUCUAGGAACUGUUUUCGAAGUAACAGGAAGACUAACGCAAGGCAUGGAUUACUUAACAUCUGGAUAUACUUUUAAAAUCACACAACCUCUCUAUUAUAGCCAUUACUAUUUUGAGGGGGAAAUAUAUGUACUUUACUUUAUUGCCAAUUAGAUAUAAAUAUAUAUUGC
rnacentral:lncRNA from 1 species